UACGGAGAGUGCAAACGUUGUUCGGAUUCACUGGGCGUAAAGGGCACGUAGGCGGCUCGGCAAAUCGGUCGUGGAAUCUCGACGCUUACCGUCGAAACGGCGGCCGAAAAUACCGGGCUCGAGGGCGUGAGGGGUCACUGGAACUCCUGGUGAAGCGGUGAAAUGCGUAGAUAUCAGGAGGAACGCCGGAGGCGAAAGCGAGUGACUGGCGCGUUCCUGACGCUGAGGUGCGAAAGCCAGGGGAGCAAACAGG
rnacentral:rRNA from 1 species